rnacentral:snRNA from 1 species
GCUGAUUGGCGGGAUCCCUC